UUUAAGGUCUAAUCUGCCCUAUGAGGAGUUAAAUGGCCGCGGUACUUUGACCGUGCAAAGGUAGCAUAAUAAUUAGUUUUUUAAUUGAAAGCUGGAAUGAACGAUUGAACGAGAAAAUAACUGUCUCAAUUUAAUUUUUUUUUGAAUUUUAUUUUUAAGUAAGAAAGCUUAAAUUUUAUUAAAAGACGAGAAGACCCUAUAGAGUUUUAUAUUUGAUUAAUUUUCAAUUUCUUAGUAUUAUUUUAUUGAUAUUUAAUCAAAUAUUUUGUUGGGGCGAUAGAGAAAUAUUAUUAACUUUUUUUAAAAAUUAUUCAUUGAUUUAUGAUUUUUUGAUCCAUUUUUUAUGAUUAUAAGAAUAAGUUACCUUAGGGAUAACAGCGUAAUUUUUUUUUAGAGUUCUUAUCGAAAGGAAAGAUUGCGACCUCGAUGUUGGAUUAAAAUAAAUUUUUGGUGUAGAAGCUAAAUAAUUAGGUCUGUUCGACCUUUAAAAUUUUACA
rnacentral:rRNA from 1 species